rnacentral:lncRNA from 7 species
AUAAUGGUUUUACUUACUCAAUUUUCUGCCCUGAAAGACCCUUACUUGCUUUGCAUUAACUUGCAGGUUCACAUAAGUGUAAUCCAUGGUUCCUGGUUCUCCCUCUCAGGUUAUUCAUGAUACUGUCCUGAAUUAUAUGUCAGAUAUUGUUCUCGCAUACCUUGGGUUUAUUCUCAGUAGUACUUGCCAUAUCUGGAAGUUGGACUCAAACUCUCUUGAAAUUAUGUAGUUUUACAACGAGUGCCAAUGGCAGGACCAAUAGAGCUUAGUACAUGUUUAUUCACUACAAGCAGCAUUGAUGAUUGGACUAAAACCCAGUGGAGACAGAUUAAUGGGGAACAGAUGGAUAUAGAGAUCAGAUGAUUUGCCAAGGUCAAGUUUUUAGUAGUAGAAGAUACUAUCUUGACAGAUCUUCUGGGACUCCAACUUCAUAACCUAGAAGAAGAAAUCCAUGGUAUAGUUGACAGAGCUGUGCUAGAGUUGGGUACUUGAAAUGUGAGAGAUGUCCAUCUUUUUCCACCUAUUUCCAUAGAAGAGUAUGUACAGAUUGCAGUCUUGAUGAAGUUUUACUUCAGGAAAUUCAUGAUACCAGUGAAUAGUUUCACGUGAGCAAAAUUCAGUGGCUUUUUGUAUGCAGCGUGGUUUACGUCAUUGUGUAUUGAAUAUAAUUUAAUUAAAGUUUUCA